rnacentral:rRNA from 1 species
AGCACAAGCUAUGGAACUUGGGUGGGAGCUUAACUGCAAGACUCAUCCGUCAAGCAAGGACGAAAGUCGGCCUUAGU